rnacentral:rRNA from 1 species
UACGUAGGGGGCAAGCGUUGUCCGGAUUUAUUGGGCGUAAAGAGCGUGUAGGCGGCCGUACAGGUCAGCUGUGAAAACUCGAGGCUCAACCUCGAGACGUCGGUUGAAACCGUACGGCUAGAGUCCGGAAGAGGAGAGUGGAAUUCCCGGUGUAGCGGUGAAAUGCGCAGAUAUCGGGAAGAACACCCGUGGCGAAGGCGGCUCUCUGGGACGGUACUGACGCUGAGCCGCGAAAGCGUGGGGAGCGAACAGG